rnacentral:rRNA from 1 species
CUACGGGUUGCAGCAGUGGGGAAUAUUGCACAAUGGAGGAAACUCUGAUGCAGCAACGCCGCGUGGAGGAUGACACUUUUCGGAGCGUAAACUCCUUUUAUAUAGGAAGAAGAUGACGGUACUAUAUGAAUAAGCGCCGGCUAACUCCGUGCCAGCAGCCGCGGUAAUACGGAGGGCGCAAGCGUUACUCGGAAUCACUGGGCGUAAAGAGCGUGUAGGCGGAUUAAAGAGUCAGAAGUGAAAUCCUAUAGCUUAACUAUAGAACUGCUUCUGAAACUCUUAAUCUAGAAUAUGGGAGAGGUAGAUGGAAUUUCUGGUGUAGGGGUAAAAUCCGUAGAGAUCAGAAGGAAUACCGAUUGCGAAGGCGAUCUACUAGAACAUUAUUGACGCUGAGACGCGAAAGCGUGGGGAGCAAACAGGAUUAGAUACCCUCGUAGUC